AGAGUUUGAUCCUGGCUCAGGAUGAACGCUAGCUACAGGCUUAACACAUGCAAGUCGAGGGGCAGCAUGUUGGUUGCUUGCAACCAACGAUGGCGACCGGCGCACGGGUGAGUAACGCGUAUCCAACCUACCCUUGUCCAUCGGAUAACCUGUCGAAAGGCGGCCUAACACGAUAUGCGGUUCACAGCAGGCAUCUAACGUGAACGAAAUGUGAAGGAGAAGGAUGGGGAUGCGUCUGAUUAGCUUGUUGGCGGGGUAACGGCCCACAAGGCUACGAUCAGUAGGGGUUCUGAGAGGAAGGUCCCCCCANAUUGGAACUGAGACACGGUCCAAACUCCUACGGGAGGCA
rnacentral:rRNA from 1 species